rnacentral:rRNA from 1 species
UACGUAGGCAGCAAGCGUUGUUCGGAGUUACUGGGCGUAAAGGGUGUGUAGGCGGUUGCUUAAGUUUGGGGUGAAAUCUCCCGGCUCAACUGGGAGGGUGCGCCGAAUACUGAGUGACUAGAGUGCGGGAGAGGAAAGUGGAAUUCCUGGUGUAGCGGUGAAAUGCGUAGAUAUCAGGAGGAACAUCGGUGGUGUAGACGGCUUUCUGGACCGUAACUGACGCUGAGACACGAAAGCGUGGGUAGCAAACAGG